UACGUAGGGGGCAAGCGUUGUCCGGAUUUAUUGGGCGUAAAGAGCGUGUAGGCGGCCAUGUAGGUCCGUUGUGAAAACUCGAGGCUCAACCUCGAGACGCCGAUGGAAACCAUGUGGCUAGAGUCCGGAAGAGGAGAGUGGAAUUCCUGGUGUAGCGGUGAAAUGCGCAGAUAUCAGGAGGAACACCCGUGGCGAAAGCGGCUCUCUGGGACGGUACUGACGCUGAGACGCGAAAGCGUGGGGAGCAAACAGG
rnacentral:rRNA from 1 species